AUUGAACGCUGGCGGCAGGCUUAACACAUGCAAGUCGAGCGGUAGCACAGGGGAGCUUGCUCCCUGGGUGACGAGCGGCGGACGGGUGAGUAAUGUCUGGGAAACUGCCUGAUGGAGGGGGAUAACUACUGGAAACGGUAGCUAACACCGCAUAACGUCGCAAGACCAAAGAGGGGGACCUUCGGGCCUCUUGCCAUCAGAUGUGCCCAGAUGGGAUUAGCUAGUAGGUGGGGUAAUGGCUCACCUAGGCGACGAUCCCUAGCUGGUCUGAGAGGAUGACCAGCCACACUGGAACUGAGACACGGUCCACACUCCUACGGGAGGCAGCAGUGGGGAAUAUUGCACAAUGGGCGCAAGCCUGAUGCAGCCAUGCCGCGUGUGUGAAUAAGGCCUUCGGGUUGUAAAGCACUUUCAGCGAGGAGGAAGGUGGUGAACUUAAUACGUUCAUCAAUUGACGUUACUCGCAGAAGAAGCACCGGCUAACUCCGUGCCAGCAGCCGCGGUAAUACGGAGGGUGCAAGCGUUAAUCGGAAUUACUGGCCGUAAAGCGCACGCAUGCGGUUUGUUAAGUCAGAUGUGAAAUCCCCGGGCUCAACCUGGGAACUGCAUUUGAAACUGGCAAGCUAGAGUCUCGUAGAGGGGGGUAGAAUUCCUGGUGUAGCGGUGAAAUGCGUAGAGAUCUGGAGGAAUACCGGUGGCGAAGGCGGCCCCCUGGACGAAGACUGACGCUCAGGUGCGAAAGCGUGGGGAGCAAACAGGAUUAGAUCCCCUGGUAGUCCACCCUGUAAACGAUGUCGAUUUGGAGGUUGUGCCCUUGAGGCGUGGGUUCCGGAGCUAACGCGUUUAGAUCCACCGCCUGGGGAGUACGGCCGCAAGGUUAAAACUCAAAUGAAUUGCCGGGGGCCCGCACAGGCGGGGGAGCUUGUGGUUUAAUUCAAUGCAGCGCGAAGAACCUUACGUACUCGUGACAUCCCGAGAUGUUGCCAAAGAUGCUUUGCUGCCGUCGGGAACUCUGAGACGGGUGCUGCAUGGCUGUCAUCUGGCCGUGUUGUGGAUAUGUUGGUUAAGUCCCGCAGCGAGCGCUGCCCUUAUCUCUUGUUGCCUGCGGUUCGCCCGGUAAUUCACUGGAGGGUGUCAGUGUUAAACUGGACGAACGUAGUGAUGUACUCACGUCAUCCAUGGUCCCUUUCCAUUAGCGCUACCCACGCGGCUCCCCCGGCAUCUACUUACUCUACCUACCCUCCCGGAUCCUACGGACCUCACUAAGUAUGUCAUAUUCCCGUUUGCAUCUCGCCGUUAAACCCCAUGAAGUCUGAAUCUCUAAUAAUCUCUCAUC
rnacentral:rRNA from 1 species